rnacentral:lncRNA from 1 species
CGGGGGCCGCCCGGGGCUGCUCCGGUAAGGGGUCCGACCGCGGGCGGAGAGCGCCAAGCCGUGGAGGAGCGGGCGUCAGGUGCAGAACUUCUGUAAGGUCUGGAAGCCGGACGUGCGUGGACGUUCAUACGCACGGACCUGAAGUUACGGAGGUCGCACUCACAGGCCGUUCUGCUGCACAGACCGGAGCCCCCGCUGCCAGUGUGUGUCCACCUGUACAGGAUUACCACCACCAUCUGAGAUAUCUGAUCAUUUCUCCAAUUAUAAGAUCCUCAUCCAUCUAG